rnacentral:rRNA from 1 species
AGAGUUUGAUCAUGGCUCAGAACGAACGCUGGCGGCAUGCCUAACACAUGCAAGUCGAACGCUCUUGGGGCUUCGGUUUCAAGGGAGUGGCGCACGGGUGAGUAGCGCGUGGGAACCUGCCCUGUUGUGGGGGAUAACCGAGGGAAACUUCGGCUAAUACCGCAUACGCCGGUUGUCUUGAGAGAGAUGGCCGGGAAAGAUUGAUCGCAGCAGGAGGGGCCCGCGUCGGAUUAGGUAGUUGGUGGGGUAACGGCCUACCAAGGCUACGAUCAGUAGCUGGUCUGAGAGGAUGACCAGCCACACUGGGACUGAGACACGGCCCAGACUCCUACGGGAGGCAGCAGUGGGGAAUAUUGGACAAUGGGCGAAAGCCUGAUCCAGCCAUGCCGCGUGAGUGAUGAAGGCCUUAGGGUUGUAAAGCUCUUUCACCCACGACGAUAAUGACGGUAGUGGGAGAAGAAGCCCCGGCUAACUUCGUGCCAGCAGCCGCGGUAAUAC